GUCACCCGGCAGAGAGUGCUGCUCAGCCUUAGGGUGCCCGUGUGCAGGAGAGACAAAGCUUUUGUGCAGAAUCUCAGCCUUAGGGUGCCUGUGUGCAGGAGAGACAAAGCUUUUGUGCAGAAUGCCCCACCCUCGGCACUUGACAGGGUGAGUGGAGGGCAUGUGGUAUUUCAGCCUCCACCCAGCUGCUGAACAGACAGGCACACACUGAACAGCCUCACCCGCCACAGCCUUGCUCUCAAGCGUUCUGCUUUCCUGCAUCAGCAGAAAUAAGGGGACCAAUUUAUCAUACCUGCUGGGUGCCAGAUGACGUAACUACGGCUUUGGGAUGUUACGCAACGAGUAAGGCCUUGUGAGUCUUCACAGAAAGGGACUGGCCUGGAGGCUCCGAGCGGUCAGCUAGUUCCCGUCACUGUUCUCCCCGGGAAGCUGUGGAUGGGCAGUGACCCAGGCAGGGAAAGGGAGAUAGAGAUGAAUCUACAAAAUGGAAAAAGUGUUGAACUUGGGAGUCAAGAGACCAGGAUUCUAGUUCUGAUGAUGCCCUUCACAUACCGAAUGCCCUGGGGAAGCCGCUUCCCUUCUCUCAGCCUUGGGUUCUCCAUGUGUCAAAUUAGGCUGUGGAAAAAGCCUCGGAUGGAAUUGCACUCAAGGACAUGUCUGCGUCAAAGCUUUUCUCCAAGUUCGUCUUCAGUUGCUAUUUCUGAAGCCACAUCACACCCUGAGAAACUCCUCCCUUUUCCUCUACCCUGCUUCUCCCCCCGUCUGUCUCCUUCUUGUCACUUUUAGUUGGUUUUGCACGGGAACUCUGAGGCCAUCCCAGCUGCCCUUGUCUGCCCGUGAGAAUCCCCUUCCACAGCGCCUCAAGAGCAGGAUGGAAGUUCCAAGAGUAUGAAUUCAUUUCAUGACAUGUACCUUUUGCAACAUACCCCGUGUCCACUGGAGCAAGAAGGGGAGGCUCUCACCUCUUUGCUUUCUGUUAUGUCUUCCAUCGUCCAUAGGGCAGUGACCCUCAUGGCUUGGCCACAAGAAAAGCAGGCAUCUUCUCUAAACUAUGGAAGAAAUCAUGAGGUGGGGCCCCCAGUCUUUUGGUAUGGGAGAUGCCAAACAAACAGGAAAUAAAGACACAAUUGCACUCCUUUACUAUCUCCCGAAUAGCUCCAUUAUGUUUUACAUUUAUGUAUGAUUCCUAGUCUUUCUCCAGAUGAGUAUUGUUGUCUAGGAAGACAUAAAUGUUAGGCAGAUAAUAUAUAUUUUUAAUUUCUACUCUAUGAAAGUCACUAUACUGGGGAAGGGGAAAACAAAUGAUAAGACAUGGUCUCAGCCCCCAAGGAACUAACAUUCUAUGAACUGUGAUAAAUGUAAACCAGGAACGGAGGUGCAGCAGGAAUUGUAAAUGCUUGCAUGGUGCAGUGCAACAGCUGACGCAAGAGGACUUGGUGUGCUUUGAAUGAGAUGCAAAUUGAACGGGGAUUGAAGAAGUCACAGAUGACUAAAAUGACUAGGAUUUCAAGACUGGAUGUCAGGCAUAUGGAGGUUUGGAGGUGAUCUGGUUUGGUUUUGUAUGCUCUGCUGCUAGAAUUGUAGCUCUAAUUGCUCACCACACACCAGGCCUCGUUCCUGGCUGCUCCUCGGAGUUCAGUGCACAUGAGGCUGAUGCGUGGAUUUGCCCCCUACAUGCCUGACUGGUUUUUAAAGAGAAAACAAGUCCAUAGCAAAACUUGACUCUUUCAGCGUUUGCCAAAAAGACAAAAAUGGCUUUUGAAAACCCAGAGCUCACCUCCCCUUUUCCCAGCUUCAUCAUUGACAGCAGCAAUGAUGCUUCAUCAUUGACAGCAGCAGCAACAGCUACAGCUACAGCUUAAGAUACAGCUAGAGCUCAAACAGCCCCAGACAUGGAUUAUGGAGAGCCAGCAGGGCUCCACUGUAACCCCAGACACGGAUUAUGAAGAGCCAGCAGGGCUCCACUCUAACCCCAGACACGGAUUAUGGAGGGCCAGCAGGGCUCCACUCUAACCCCAUACACGGAUUAUGAAGAGCCAGCAGGGCUCCACUCUAACCCCAGACACGGAUUAUGGAGGGCCAGCAGGGCUCCACUCUAACCCCAGACACAGAUUAUGAAGAGCCAGCAGGGCUCCACUCUAACCCCAGACACGGAUUAUGAAGAGCCAGCAGGGCUCCACUGUAACCCCAGACACGGAUUAUGAAGAGCCAGCAGGGCUCCACUCUAACCCCAGACACGGAUUAUGAAGAGCCAGCAGGGCUCCACUCUAACCCCAGACAUGGAUUAUGGAGAGCCAACAGAGCUCCACUCCAACCCCAGACACGGAUUAUGGAGAGCCAGCAGGGCUCCACUCUAACCCCAGACACGGAUUAUGGAGGGCCAGCAGGGCUCCACUCUAACCCCAGACACGGAUUAUGGAGGGCCAGCAGGGCUCCACUCUAACCCCAGACACGGAUUAUGGAGGGCCAGCAGGGCUCCACUCUAAUCCCAGACAUGGAUUAUGGAGAGCCAGCAGGGCUCCACUCUAACCCCAGACACGGAUUAUGAAGAGCCAGCAGGGCUCCACUCUAACCCUAGACAUGGAUUAUGAAGAGCCAGCAGGGCUCCACUCUAACCCCAGACAUGGAUUAUGGAGGGCCAACAGGGCUCCACUCCAACCCCAGACAUGGAUUAUGGAGGGCCAGCAGGGCUCCACUCCAACCCCAGACAUGGAUUAUGGAGGGCCAGCAGGGCUCCACUGUAACCCCAGACAUGGAUUAUGGAGAGCCAACAGGGCUCCACUCCAACCCCAGACACGGAUUAUGGAGAGCCAGCAGGGCUCCACUCCAACCCCAGACACGGAUUAUGGAGGGCCAGCAGGGCUCCACUGUAACCCCAGACACGGAUUAUGAAGAGCCAGCAGGGCUCCACUGUAACCCCAGACACGGAUUAUGAAGAGCCAGCAGGGCUCCACUGUAACCCCAGACACGGAUUAUGAAGAGCCAGCAGGGCUCCACUGUAACCCCAGACACGGAUUAUGAAGAGCCAGCAGGGCUCCACUCUAACCCCAGACACGGAUUAUGAAGAGCCAGCAGGGCUCCACUCUAACCCCAGACAUGGAUUAUGGAGAGCCAACAGGGCUCCACUCCAACCCCAGACACGGAUUAUGGAGAGCCAGCAGGGCUCCACUCUAACCCCAGACACGGAUUAUGGAGAGCCAAGAGGGCUCCACUCCAACCCCAGACACGGAUUAUGGAGAGCCAGCAGGGCUCCACUGUAACCCCAGACACGGAUUAUGAAGAGCCAACAGGGCUCCACUCCAACCCCAGACAUGGAUUAUGGAGAGCCAGCAGGGCUCCACUCUAACCCCAGACAUGGAUUAUGGAGAGCCAACAGGGCUCCACUCCAACCCCAGACACGGAUUAUGGAGAGCCAGCAGGGCUCCACUCUAACCCCAGACACGGAUUAUGGAGGGCCAGCAGGGCUCCACUCUAACCCCAUACACGGAUUAUGAAGAGCCAGCAGGGCUCCACUCUAACCCCAGACACGGAUUAUGGAGGGCCAGCAGGGCUCCACUCUAACCCCAGACACAGAUUAUGAAGAGCCAGCAGGGCUCCACUCUAACCCCAGACACGGAUUAUGAAGAGCCAGCAGGGCUCCACUGUAACCCCAGACACGGAUUAUGAAGAGCCAGCAGGGCUCCACUGUAACCCCAGACACGGAUUAUGAAGAGCCAGCAGGGCUCCACUCUAACCCCAGACAUGGAUUAUGGAGAGCCAACAGAGCUCCACUCCAACCCCAGACACGGAUUAUGGAGAGCCAGCAGGGCUCCACUCUAACCCCAGACACGGAUUAUGGAGGGCCAGCAGGGCUCCACUCUAACCCCAGACACGGAUUAUGGAGGGCCAGCAGGGCUCCACUCUAACCCCAGACACGGAUUAUGGAGGGCCAGCAGGGCUCCACUCUAAUCCCAGACAUGGAUUAUGGAGAGCCAGCAGGGCUCCACUCUAACCCCAGACACGGAUUAUGAAGAGCCAGCAGGGCUCCACUCUAACCCUAGACAUGGAUUAUGAAGAGCCAGCAGGGCUCCACUCUAACCCCAGACAUGGAUUAUGGAGGGCCAACAGGGCUCCACUCCAACCCCAGACAUGGAUUAUGGAGGGCCAGCAGGGCUCCACUGUAACCCCAGACAUGGAUUAUGGAGAGCCAACAGGGCUCCACUCCAACCCCAGACACGGAUUAUGGAGAGCCAGCAGGGCUCCACUCCAACCCCAGACACGGAUUAUGGAGGGCCAGCAGGGCUCCACUGUAACCCCAGACACGGAUUAUGAAGAGCCAGCAGGGCUCCACUGUAACCCCAGACACGGAUUAUGAAGAGCCAGCAGGGCUCCACUCUAACCCCAGACACGGAUUAUGAAGAGCCAGCAGGGCUCCACGCUAAAGAGGGGAAGGAAGAUGGAAGAUACUCUCUUUAGGAGCUGGUGGUGAAGCCAGGAGGCCCAGCACUCGGCGGUGCAUUAAUGCAACAAGUAUUUAUUGAGUGCCUACUAUAUACUAGGCUCUGUUCUAGGCAUUGAGAAUACAGUGGUAAGAGAGAGAGACAGAAAAGGACUACAUUCUAGUAGAAAAUAUAAACAAUAAAUAAGUAAAAAACAAAUAUAAACAUGAACUAUAAAAAUAUCAGAGUGGUAAGUGCUAUGCAAAAAAUUAAAAUAGAGUGAUGGGCUAGAGAGAAGUUGAGUGGCCCCUUUGGAGGAGUUGGUCAGCGAAGUUCGGCAAAAAAUAUACUUCUUGUGGGCUUCUGAGUUGAGCAUAAGUAACUCUAUACUUAUUAUUGAAGUAAAUUGUAUUACUUGUCUCCACA